GACGAACGCUGGCGGCGUGCUUAACACAUGCAAGUCGAACGGAAAGGCCCUGCUUUUGUGGGGUGCUCGAGUGGCGAACGGGUGAGUAACACGUGAGUAACCUGCCCUUGACUUUGGGAUAACUUCAGGAAACUGGGGCUAAUACCGGAUAGGAGCUCCUGCUGCAUGGUGGGGGUUGGAACGUUUCGGCGGUUGGGGAUGGACUCGCGGCUUAUCAGCUUGUUGGUGGGGUAGUGGCUUACCAAGGCUUUGACGGGUAGCCGGCCUGAGAGGGUGACCGGCCACAUUGGGACUGAGGUACGGCCCAGACGCCUACGGGAGGCAGCAGUGGGGAAUAUUGCACAAUGGGCGGAAGCCGGAUGCAGAAGCGCCGCGUGCGGGAUGACGGCCUUCGGGUUGUAAACCGCUUUCGCCUGUGACGAAGCGUGAGUGACGGUAAUGGGUAAAGAAGCACCGGCUAACUACGUG
rnacentral:rRNA from 1 species